rnacentral:pre_miRNA from 1 species
UUUAAUGGAUGAGCAAAGAAAGUGGUUUCUUGAGAAGGAAUCAACUCCUGGAGAAGAUGCUUUGAA